rnacentral:rRNA from 1 species
UACGGAGGAUGCGAGCGUUAUCCGGAUUUAUUGGGUUUAAAGGGUGCGUAGGCGGCGAGUUAAGUCAGCGGUAAAAGCCCGGGGCUCAACCCCGGCCCGCCGUUGAAACUGGCUGGCUUGAGUUGGGGAAAGGCAGGCGGAAUGCGCGGUGUAGCGGUGAAAUGCAUAGAUAUCACGCAGAACCCCGAUUGCGAAGGCAGCCUGCCAAGCCAUGACUGACGCUGAUGCACGAAAGCGUGGGGAUCGAACAGG